CCUACGUGAGGCAGCAGUGAGGAAUAUUGGUCAAUCGGCGCGAGCCUGAACCAGCCAAGUAGCGUGAAGGAUGACUGCCCUACGGGUUGUAAACUUCUUUUAUAAAGGAAUAAAGUUAGGCACGUGUGCCUUUUUGUAUGUACUUUAUGAAUAAGGAUCGGCUAACUCCGUGCCAGCAGCCGCGGUAAUACGGAGGAUCCGAGCGUUAUCCGGAUUUAUUGGGUUUAAAGGGAGCGUAGAUGGGUUGUUAAGUCAGUGGUGAAAGUUUGCGGCUCAACCGUAAAAUUGCAAUUGAUACUGGCAGUCUUGAGUACAGUUGAGGUAGGCGGAAUUCGUGGUGUAGCGGUGAAAUGCUUAGAUAUCACGAAGAACUCCGAUUGCGAAGGCAGCUUACUAAACUGCCACUGACAUUGAUGCUCGAAAGUGUGGGUAUCAAACAGGAUUAGAUACCCCAGUAGUC
rnacentral:rRNA from 1 species